CCUACGGGAGGCAGCAGUGAGGAAUAUUGGUCAAUGGACGAGAGUCUGAACCAGCCAAGUAGCGUGAAGGAUGACUGCCCUAUGGGUUGUAAACUUCUUUUAUAUGGGAAUAAAAUGUUCCACGUGUGGGAUUUUGUAUGUACCAUAUGAAUAAGGAUCGGCUAACACCGUGCCAGCAGCCGCGGUAAUACGGAGGAUCCGAGCGUUAUCCGGAUUUAUUGGGUUUAAAGGGAGCGUAGGUGGAUUGUUAAGUCAGUUGUGAAAGUUUGCGGCUCAACCGUAAAAUUGCAGUUGAAACUGGCAGUCUUGAGUACAGUAGAGGUGGGCGGAAUUCGUGGUGUAGCGGUGAAAUGCUUAGAUAUCACGAAGAACUCCGAUUGCGAAGGCAGUUCACUGGACUGCAACUGACACUGAGGCUCGAAAGUGUGGGUAUCAAACAGGAUUAGAUACCCGAGUAGUC
rnacentral:rRNA from 1 species